rnacentral:rRNA from 1 species
AUAAUGGGUCAGCGACUUAUAUUCUGUAGCAAGGUUAACCGAAUAGGGGAGCCGAAGGGAAACCGAGUCUUAACUGGGCGUUAAGUUGCAGGGUAUAGACCCGAAACCCGGUGAUCUAGCCAUGGGCAGGUUGAAGGUUGGGUAACACUAACUGGAGGACCGAACCGACUAAUGUUGAAAAAUUAGCGGAUGACUUGUGGCUGGGGGUGAAAGGCCAAUCAAACCGGGAGAUAGCUGGUUCUCCCCGAAAGCUAUUUAGGUAGCGCCUCGUGAAUUCAUCUCCGGGGGUAGAGCACUGUUUCGGCAAGGGGGUCAUCCCGACUUACCAACCCGAUGCAAACUGCGAAUACCGGAGAAUGUUAUCACGGGAGACACACGGCGGGUGCUAACGUCCGUCGUGAAGAGGGAAACAACCCAGACCGCCAGCUAAGGUCCCAAAGUCAUGGUUAAGUGGGAAACGAUGUGGGAAGGCCCAGACAGCCAGGAUGUUGGCUUAGAAGCAGCCAUCAUUUAAAGAAAGCGUAAUAGCUCACUGGUCGAGUCGGCCUGCGCGGAAGAUGUAACGGGGCUAAACCAUGCACCGAAGCUGCGGCAGCGACACUAUGUGUUGUUGGGUAGGGGAGCGUUCUGUAAGCCUGCGAAGGUGUGCUGUGAGGCAUGCUGGAGGUAUCAGAAGUGCGAAUGCUGACAUAAGUAACGAUAAAGCGGGUGAAAAGCCCGCUCGCCGGAAGACCAAGGGUUCCUGUCCAACGUUAAUCGGGGCAGGGUGAGUCGACC